rnacentral:rRNA from 1 species
UACAGAGGUCUCAAGCGUUGUUCGGAUUCAUUGGGCGUAAAGGGGUGCGUAGGCGGCGCGGUAAGUCGGGUGUGAAAUCUCGGAGCUUAACUCCGAAACUGCAUUCGAUACUGCCGUGCUUGAGGACUGGAGAGGAGACUGGAAUUUACGGUGUAGCGGUGAAAUGCGUAGAUAAUCGUAAGGAAGACCAGUGGCGAAGGCGGGUCUCUGGACAGUUCCUGACGCUGAGGCACGAAGGUCAGGGGAGCAAACGGG